rnacentral:tRNA from 1 species
GGUGCCUUAGCUCAGCUGGUAGAGCAACGGACUGAAAAUCCGUGUGUCCCCAGUUCGAUUCUGGGAGGCACCACC